rnacentral:rRNA from 1 species
UACGAAGGGGGGCUAGCGUUACUCGGAUUGACUGGGCGUAAAGGGCGCGUAGGCGGUUCGUACAGUCAGACGUGAAAUUCCUGGGCUCAACCUGGGGGCUGCGUUUGAUACGUGCGGGCUUGAGUUCGGAAGAGGGUCGUGGAAUUCCCAGUGUAGAGGUGAAAUUCGUAGAUAUUGGGAAGAACACCGGUGGCGAAGGCGGCGACCUGGUCCGAUACUGACGCUGAGGCGCGAAAGCGUGGGGAGCAAACAGG